rnacentral:rRNA from 1 species
GGUUAAGUUAGAAAGGGCGCACGGUGAAUGCCUUGGCACUAGGAGCCGAUGAAGGACGGGACUAACACCGAUAUGCUUCGGGGAGCUGUAAGUGAGCUUUGAUCCGGAGAUUUCCGAAUGGGGAAACCCACUGUUCGUAAUGGAACAGUAUCUUUAUCUGAAUACAUAGGAUAUUGAAGGCAGACCCGGGGAACUGAAACAUCUAAGUACCCGGAGGAAGAGAAAGCAAAUGCGAUUUCCUGAGUAGCGGCGAGCGAAACGGAAUUAGCCCAAACCAAGAGGCUUGCCUCUUGGGGUUGUAGGACACUCUAUACGGAGUUACAAAGGAACGAAGUAAAUGAAGCGACCUGGAAAGGUCCGUCGAAGAAGGUAACAACCCUGUAGUUGAAACUUCGUUCCCUCUUGAGUGGAUCCUGAGUACGGCGGAACACGUGAAAUUCCGUCGGAAGCUGGGAGGACCAUCUCCCAAGGCUAAAUACUACCUAGUGACCGAUAGUGAACCAGUACCGUGAGGGAAAGGUGAAAAGCACCCCGGAAGGGGAGUGAAAGAGAUCCUGAAACCGUGUGCCUACAAGUAGUCAGAGCCCGUUAACGGGUGAUGGCGUGCCUUUUGUAGAAUGAACCGGCGAGUUACGAUCCCAUGCAAGGUUAAGCUGAUAAGGCGGAGCCGUAGCGAAAGCGAGUCUGAAUAGGGCGUUUAGUAUGUGGUUGUAGACCCGAAACCAGGUGAUCUACCCAUGUCCAGGGUGAAGUUCAGGUAACACUGAAUGGAGGCCCGAACCCACGCACGUUGAAAAGUGCGGGGAUGANACCAGGUGAUCUACCCAUGUCCAGGGUGAAGUUCAGGUAACACUGAAUGGAGGCCCGAACCCACGCACGUUGAAAAGUGCGGGGAUGAGGUGUGGGUAGCGGAGAAAUUCCAAUCGAACCUGGAGAUAGCUGGUUCUCUCCGAAAUAGCUUUAGGGCUAGCCUCAUGUUGUGAGAGUCUUGGAGGUAGAGCACUGAUUGGACUAGGGGCCCCCAACGGGUUACCGAAUUCAGUCAAACUCCGAAUGCCAAAGACUUAUCCAUGGGAGUCAGACUGCGAGUGAUAAGAUCCGUAGUCAAAAGGGAAACAGCCCAGACCACCAGCUAAGGUCCCCAAGUAUACGUUAAGUGGAAAAGGAUGUGGAGUUGCUUAGACAACCAGGAUGUUGGCUUAGAAGCAGCCACCAUUUAAAGAGUGCGUAAUAGCUCACUGGNAAGUGGAAAAGGAUGUGGAGUUGCUUAGACAACCAGGAUGUUGGCUUAGAAGCAGCCACCAUUUAAAGAGUGCGUAAUAGCUCACUGGUCGAGUGACUCUGCGCCGAAAAUGUACCGGGGCUAAACGUAUCACCGAAGCUGUGGAUUGACAUCUUUGAUGUCAGUGGUAGGAGAGCGUUCUAAGUGCUGUGAAGUCAGACCGUAAGGACUGGUGGAGCGCUUAGAAGUGAGAAUGCCGGUAUGAGUAGCGAAAGACAAGUGAGAAUCUUGUCCACCGAAUGCCUAAGGUUUCCUGAGGAAGGCUCGUCCGCUCAGGGUUAGUCGGGACCUAAGCCGAGGCUGAAAAGCGUAGGCGAUGGCCAACAGGUUGAUAUUCCUGUACCACCUCCCCGCCGUUUGAGUAAUGGGGGGACGCAGUAGGAUAGGGUAAGCGCGCUGCUGGAUAUGCGCGUUCAAGCAGUUAGGCUGAUGAGUAGGCAAAUCCGCUCAUCAUAAAGGCUGAGCUGUGAUGACGAGGGAAUUAUAGUACCGAAGUUCCUGAUUCCACACUGCCAAGAAAAGCCUCUAGCGAGGCGGGAGGUGCCCGUACCGCAAACCGACACAGGUAGGCGAGGAGAGAAUCCUAAGGUGAUCGAGAGAACUCUCGUUAAGGAACUCGGCAAAAUGACCCCGUAACUUCGGGAGAAGGGGUGCUNCCGACACAGGUAGGCGAGGAGAGAAUCCUAAGGUGAUCGAGAGAACUCUCGUUAAGGAACUCGGCAAAAUGACCCCGUAACUUCGGGAGAAGGGGUGCUCUGGUAGGGUGUAUAGCCCGAGAGAGCCGCAGUGAAUAGGCCCAGGCGACUGUUUAGCAAAAACACAGGUCUCUGCGAAGCCGCAAGGCGAAGUAUAGGGGCUGACGCCUGCCCGGUGCUGGAAGGUUAAGAGGAGGGGUUAUCCUUUGGGAGAAGCUCUGAAUCGAAGCCCCAGUAAACGGCGGCCGUAACUAUAACGGUCCUAAGGUAGCGAAAUUCCUUGUCGGGUAAGUUCCGACCCGCACGAAAGGCGUAACGAUCUGGGCACUGUCUCAACGAGAGACUCGGUGAAAUUAUAGUACCUGUGAAGAUGCAGGUUACCCGCGACAGGACGGAAAGACCCCGUGGAGCNAACGAUCUGGGCACUGUCUCAACGAGAGACUCGGUGAAAUUAUAGUACCUGUGAAGAUGCAGGUUACCCGCGACAGGACGGAAAGACCCCGUGGAGCUUUACUGUAGCCUGAUAUUGAAUUUUGGUACAGCUUGUACAGGAUAGGUAGGAGCCUGAGAAGCCGGAGCGCUAGCUUCGGUGGAGGCGUCGGUGGGAUACUACCCUGGCUGUAUUGAAAUUCUAACCCGCGGCCCUGAUCGGGCCGGGAGACAGUGUCAGGUGGGCAGUUUGACUGGGGCGGUCGCCUCCUAAAAUGUAACGGAGGCGCCCAAAGGUUCCCUCAGAAUGGUUGGAAAUCAUUCGUAGAGUGUAAAGGCACAAGGGAGCUUGACUGCGAGACCUACAAGUCGAGCAGGGACGAAAGUCGGGCUUAGUGAUCCGGUGGUUCCGCAUGGAAGGGCCAUCGCUCAACGGAUAAAAGCUACCCCGGGGAUAACAGGCUUAUCUCCCCCAAGAGUCCACAUCGACGGGGAGGUUUGGCACCUCGAUGUCGGCUCAUCGCAUCCUGGGGCUGUAGUCGGUCCCAAGGGUUGGGCUGUUCGCCCAUUAAAGCGGUACGCGAGCUGGGUUCAGAACGUCGUGAGACAGUUCGGUCCCUAUCCGUCGNGGGGCUGUAGUCGGUCCCAAGGGUUGGGCUGUUCGCCCAUUAAAGCGGUACGCGAGCUGGGUUCAGAACGUCGUGAGACAGUUCGGUCCCUAUCCGUCGUGGGCGUAGGAAAUUUGAGAGGAGCUGUCCUUAGUACGAGAGGACCGGGAUGGACACACCGCUGGUGUACCAGUUGUCUUGCCAAAGGCAUCGCUGGGUAGCUAUGUGUGGACGGGAUAAGUGCUGAAAGCAUCUAAGCAUGAAGCCCCCCUCAAGAUGAGAUUUCCCAUAGCGCAAGCUAGUAAGAUCCCUGAAAGAUGAUCAGGUUGAUAGGUCAGAGGUGGAAGCGUGGCGACAUGUGUAGCUGACUGAUACUAAUCGAUCGAGGACUUAACCAA